rnacentral:lncRNA from 1 species
AUAACAAUCAGAGUAAUUAUGCCAUUCAAGGGUGUCACACAAUUAUUCAAACUAUUCACCAAUUAUAAAUGUCAUGCUCUUUAUUAAUUCAAAACAUAAGCAUUUGCAUAAAACGCAACGGAUAGAGAUCUCAUCAAUCAUGUACAACAUGUAACAUUCACAUGUAAAUUAUUCAACAAAAUAAAACGUCCCAUCCCGAUGUUACAUCUAUCAGAGCACGACCCACUAAGGAGACUACACUAGACUCCAAUCAUUCGCUCCUACUCAACUCAGUUCUCGUUACCUGAAAAACAGUUGUAAGGGUGAGUUCCUCAAUCGAUAUAAUA